rnacentral:rRNA from 1 species
CUUCACUAUCGCCUUCACUAAGGCACCAGAUCUCAUCUGAUUUUGGAAGCUGAGCAGGGUCAGCCCUGGUUAUUACUUGGAUGAGAGACCACCAAUGAAUACCAGGUGUUGUGGAGG